rnacentral:rRNA from 1 species
UACACAUGCAAGUCGAGCGGAUGACGGGAGCUUGCUCCUUGAUUCAGCGGCGGACGGGUGAGUAAUGCCUAGGAAUCUGCCUGGUAGUGGGGGACAACGUUUCGAAAGGAACGCUAAUACCGCAUACGUCCUACGGGAGAAAGCAGGGGACCUUCGGGCCUUGCGCUAUCAGAUGAGCCUAGGUCGGAUUAGCUAGUUGGUGGGGUAAUGGCUCACCAAGGCGACGAUCCGUAACUGGUCUGAGAGGAUGAUCAGUCACACUGGAACUGAGACACGGUCCAGACUCCUACGGGAGGCAGCAGUGGGGAAUAUUGGACAAUGGGCGAAAGCCUGAUCCAGCCAUGCCGCGUGUGUGGAGAAGGUCUUCGGAUUGUAAAGCACUUUAAGCUGGGAGGAAGGGCAGUAAGCUAAUACCUUGCUGUUUUGACGUUACCGACAGAA